CUCAGAUGGAGUGAUGAGCUACCCAGUCCCAACUUCCCAGGCACCCUUGAACAAGGGGCCAGGGGUACAUGGCAGCCUUGUCUCUAUCAACCUGUGAAGUUGCUUAUGGUGUUAAAAUGUUGCCAGAGAUCAAGGAUGUCCAGACAAACACCAGCUAAAUCUAAAAAGAAGUCAGAAAACUAAUACAAGCUUAAAAUACCAAUUUCAGCACAGAUAUGCUUAUCUUUUAGACUUACUUUAUUUACCCACCUCACAUGACAUGGGGAAGAAUUCCUGAAGAACGUUUUCCCACUGAUUGUUUAAAAUCCUUCCUCUCAAUAAAGUCCUUUCUAAGUACACAUGGUUCCGUUUCAUUCUCUGGCUCAUCCUCUUAAUCACCUGCCUUUAGCGUCUCUAAUUUACUUAUUUGACAGUAUUUAUUGAGCAUCUGCUAUGGGCCAGGCACCAGGUUAAGAUGGCAGGAAGCCGAAUGAGACACGGUCCUGACCUGCGAGGGCUCGUGGUUGAGUCACGAAAAACUACACUGAAAGAAUGGCAAAUAGCGAGAUGUGUGCCAGGAAAAGACACGUGGCAAGUAAACUCACUCCUGGAGGAAAUCAAGAAAGAGAAUGGUUGGGUUUUCUCAAUAAUCCAUAGACUAUCAGGGCCAGAAGAGACUUUACAGAUUAUCUGUUCUAACCCCCUCAUUUUAUAAAUGGAAAACAGAGAGGGGAAGAGCCACACAGUUUUAAAGCUGGGGCCAACGCGUAAUGAAUUCUUUCUCUUUUCCUGGCUGAUAAUUUGUUGUGUGUCUCUCAAAUUGUCUCUUGAGGUAGGUAAAAUAGAAAUCAUCAGUAUACCACUGAAAGAAAUCUAUUUUGUUUUCUGACUAAAAAUCUACAAGAUAUACCUCAUCAACAUUUGUUUGAAAAUGUGACUAUUCUUUGAAGAUUACUAUCAUCGAUUCACAUUCAGUGCCUUGCCUGGGUAUUUUUAAGUUGUUCCUUAUUCCAGCAUUCCUACCACUAGUCUCAGCUAUCACAGUCCUUUAUAGAAAACGUCAUCAUGAUUCUUGUUGUUUCUCUACAUUUACAUAGCACCUCGGAGUUUAAGAAGCAUUUUCAGAUCCAUUGCUUCCACUGGGGGAGUCAAGUUGUUGGCUUGAUAGCUUUAGAGGGACAUGACAAGUAGAAGGAGGUUUGGAAAGGAGCAAAGCACGUGGUGACAGUGCUGGGGAACAAGACCUACAAAGCCGGGUGACAGGAGUAGGACGCCUGGGACUGCUCUUGUGGGGCCAGAUCACCAGGGGAGGGCUAGGGAAUGGAUUUCUAGUCCAUGAAGUCUAGUGAGCGGAAAGGAAACACAUCAAUAAACACAUCAAUAAACAUACUGAAUAAUGCCUGUGUGCAGGGCACCAUGCUAAGUGGAUUCAAAGAUGAGUGAUCAACGUACCCCCUUCAAAGAAUGUUUUGGAUUUCUGUUCAAUCUCCUUAAGCCACCGGGAGUGGAAGGCAUGAGUGAGCAGAAGCCACUGAGCAGAGAGAAGUGGAUGUACCAAGCUCCUGCUGUGUGGCCUCGGCUUCUCCAGGAGGUUUGGACUUAACCCCUAUUAGUGACUCAGGCUAAGGCUCUUCAUGGAAGAAUGGGCUGCCUCCCCGGGACUUGCUGGAAGGUGACAUGGGUGCAUUUAGGCAGAGUGGAGGGUGAUCUGUCACGGAAAUGGUAGACCCUGGUCCUUUCCCUUGAACAUCUCAGGUUGAACACUGGGGCGGUGCUUCAUUAUGAGCCAUUAAGUGGAUUCUCAUGAGUGAGUUUCUGUUGGCCUUAUAGACAAUGGGGUUUUAAUCAUGUUUAUCUAGGCUAAGAGAGGACAAGAGAACCAUUUGUGUACUUUCAAAGAAUCAGGGCCCCAUGGCUGAGUGCUGCUGGGGACGUAGAGGAGCAGCUAAGAGAGCCCAGAGGAUGAUCACGGAACUGGGACAGGGAGCGCCCAAAACCAUGUGAGAGGCCAUGGGUGGGGGGUGACUGAGAAACAAGCUACUAACCACCUUGAAAUACAUGAAGGGUAAGAAGAAACUCCCACAGGACUCUCAAAUCAGAAUGUAAAGGUAAUGCAGGGAGGGGAAUGGACGCAGGAGCUGGAGGAGUAUAGAAUUGUUACAAAGCAACCGUGAAGAUGAAGACUUUGGAAAGGAAGGACACAUUGGAACUAGCCUCACACAGGUGUUAGACUAGUCGUGGGAACUUCAGACCCACUACAGUGCUGCAUGCUUCUGGAUAGCAGGUCUUCUUGCUAAUUUAAAAUAGCCCCUGGCUCUCUCACCAGAUUGGCCACAACCUCCCAGCAGACCCCCUGGCCUCCCUGUGCUGGCCCCAACUACACUCUCAUGCUCCUUUCCCACUUCUCCCACCUCAUCUUGCAGAUUCCCUCCUCCAUAGCCUCUUUCUGGAUCUCUCCCACGGAUGUCUCAUCCUUCAAGGCUCACCUAACGUGCUACCUCCUCCAGGAAGCCUUUCCUGAUCCAUGCCACCAGAUGGUACAUGCUCCCUGCGGGAACCCAUAUAGCACAUUGUGCCUCUUUAUGGCACUUUCACUUCCUCCUGCAUUCUAACAAAUUGUGUGCUUGUCUGAGCUCUCACCCCCACCUCUCCUUAGAAAACUUCAAGGGCAGAGACCUGAUCCUUUCAUUUGUGUAUUCACAGUGCCAGGGCAGGAACCAGUGUGCCAUAGACACUCAAUAAAUGUUAAAUUGCAUUUCAGCCAAUGCAUACCUUGGACAAAGUUUCUGUGUUCCUUUAGAGGUUAUGACCGAGACUCGGGCUUAAACACUUGCCUCUGUCACUAGCCAGGUGAUCUAGGGUAACUUAAUUCAUCUCUGCACCUAGGUUUUCUCAUCUGUAAAAUGAGCACAACAGGACCUACCUCCAAAGGACACUGUGGUAGUCUUCAUAAAGCCCUUAGUAGAUUGUCUGGACACACUGUGAAUGCUCAGUAGAUGUAAGACAGGGUUAGCAAUGUGCAGUAUAAGGGACAUAAUUUCCUUUCGAUUGCCAAGAGUGCAGUGAUUCAUAUGCUCCUUUUCUACCUGGCAGUCUUUAUCUUCUGUAAAGCACAUCUUUGCACAAAGCAGCUUCAUAUCAUUUCAAUGCUGUUAGAUAUCUGGGCGCCAUAUACACAGGAAUGCUAGUAGGCAGUUUGUUAACUAGGAAUCAAAUAUACCAAUCAAAGAGAUUUUCCUCAAAGUGAUUUGCCAAUUCAUCCAUCCAUCAAGCCUGUGCCAUUACAAGCUGCGUGAGUCCUCCAAGGCCUGCGAAAAUGAAAAUGAACAAAACCAAACCCCUGUUCCCAUGUUGAUCACAGCCUCCCCGGGCAAAUAUAGCAAAGACCUAGAUAGAACUAUAAAAAGAGGCUGCGAGAGUCCAAAGAGGAGAGUGGCCGCCCCUGUGCAUGGUGAGGAGAGGUUGGGGAAGUGGGAGCGCCAGCAGGCCUCAUGGAAGAGGGGGUGUGCAGCUGGACCCUGCCAGGUGAGUAGGAAGAAGUUUGUCAGAGAGAGGAGGUAGAAGCAUCUCCAAAAACAGGAAGCAGCAAGUGCAAAGAGACAGAGUCCUUGAGUCCACAUUCGGCAAAUGCUGAGGUUGGUGGCCCUAAAAGGCCCAGAAAAUCAAUCCACAUUCUUCUAAUACUGAUGUGGAUUUUAUUUAAAAUAGAAACACUUCCACCAAAUUAGUUAUGAAUCCCAGAAGAGAUUAUCUUAUUGCUAAAAUAAAUGUUCUUUUCUUAUUUCUUCCAAAAUGAUUUGAUGGUUAUUUUUCUGAAGCAUAUUUCUGAUUUCUCUUGAAAACAAGUGCCUUCAGAAAGUCCAUGUCAGCCAAGGAGAAACAACUCAAAAGUAGCCCAGGAUCACAACUAUUUAGCCCCACCAAGGAUCAAAUUCUUCAUAUUCUCUAAACUACCCCCCCAGCACAUGGAGUGAUUUCAGCUCUUCAAAGCCAGUAAAGAGAUAAGUUCAUUGAAACUCAAGAUGACAGGCACAGAGCUCAUUAUAUCUGGUUUCAUUUGUUCCUUCAGUUAUUCUCUGAGGACAGUGGACAGUGAAUGCAGCCAGACGUCUCUUUCAGAAGAGCACAAAUGGAGGAGGAAAUUUUGUUCAUAACUUUGCUGGGAGAAUGUUUGGCCAAAUGCAGUGGCCUGAGGCCAGAAAAUGCCAUUUUUUAUCUCCAGUGCAGACAGGCAGAGAGGAGGUGUAAUGGAUUUAGCAAGAUAAAGACUUGGACCCACAGAAAAAGAAACACACACACAUCCACAUGCACACGUGAUCCUCACGGAAAAUUAGACUUCACUUCCACCUCUUGAGGUGGGAAUUGUAGUCUUACUGAAAUUACAGAGACGAAGCUACGGUCAUAUUACACAAAGCUGUAUCUAUCAGUGAAGGGUGGCCUCUUGGGAAUGAACUAUUUAAACAACAAUUGCGUGUCCAGAAUUCAUGAUGUGAGCAGAUUUUUCCUGAAAGAGGCAACUUGGCCUGUUGGGAUCAGAACUGUUGCUUAUUUGAUUGUUUUCCUUUUGGUCUCAGACGCUGGGGUCUCAGUGUCAGCUGGAGACUGAAAACUUCAGCCUGCAGGGAGAGAUGGGACAGAGGUGGCCCUGAGGGCCUCUGAGUCCUGGCUCCAGGUGUCCCAUUCGUCGGCCCUUCCUGUGCUUGGCUAUGCAAGCCAAUCCAUUCUCUGCGAUUGCUUGAAAUUUGUAAAAAAGAAAGAGAAUGAGGCUUUGUCAUCAUUGUGAGCUUGAGUAAAUCAUUUCUCACUUCUAGACCUCGGGUUUCUCACUUGUUAAGAGGGUGGGGGUGGGAGACUAAGCAAAUCCUCAGGUUCUUAAAAUUUGUUGAUUUAAUUGAUCUGGAAAAGGGAUUUUUUCCACCAUUUUGGUUUAGGAAUAUUUUAUGGGGCCCAGGAUGCAGAGGUUCCUUGAGUUCCUCAGUGAAGGACCGCAGUGACUUCAUGGUUGGGGUGGCAGUUAACCUGAGCAGCAAAGACUGCUGGGUAGAGCUAGGCGCUGCUUUUCAGAACCAAAGGCUUCACCUAUUUGAAACUUGUAUUAUGGAGGCAUGUUACAGAGGAAAGAGCACAAGACUUAGAAUAAUUGUCCUAGAUUUGAGUCUAGCCACUAAACUAACUCACUGAGAUUGUGGCCAGGGCACACCCCAAUUUGGGGACUCAGUUUACUUGUGGGUGAAGUGAAUAUGGGAGACAGACUCCCAGGAGGCUCCAUGGUCCAUGCUCCCUGGUGUACCCACCCUUGUGGGAUCCCUUCCCUCCAGUGUGGGUGGCACCUGUGACUUGUUUCUAACCAACAGAAUAUGGCGAUGGUGGUGGACGUCAGUGUCAUGAUAUUAAUAUAUUCCAGCGGACUUGAACACCCAUCUUACUAGCCGACUUUUGCUGUCAACUGUCUCCCUUGCUGGCUUUGAUGGAGUAAGCUGCCAUAGAGAGAGGUCCUGGAGAAGAACUGAGGGUGGCCUCUGGCUGAGGGCCCACAAGAAGCUGAGGCCCUCAGGCCAACAACCCUCAAGGAACUGAAUUCUGUCAACAACCACAUGAUUUUGGAAGCAGAACCUUCCCCGGUCAAGCUGCAGAUAAGAUCCCCAGCCCUGACUGACUCCCGGAUUAAAGCACCGUAAGAGAAUCUAAAACAGAGGAAUCAGCUAAACUGUGCCUGGACUCCUGACCCACAGGAACUGUGAAAUAAUAAAUGUGCUGUUUAAAAGUACGAAGUUUGUGGUAAUUUGUUAUGCAGCAGUAGAUAAGUAACACAACAAAGCAGUUAUAACCUUCUGUACCUGACAUCCUGUGAGCAUGACAAUACUCUUCUUAUGAUACCAGCAUUACACAUGUAACAGAAACCACUCCAUUAUGACAUACACAAACAUAUUGUAAGCUGCUGUUACUAUGCUGGGUUGAGAAUUAUUCAUCUUUCUAGAACUCCUAGGGUACUUGUUCUGUAUUUAGAUUCUCAUUUAAUCAGGACUCAUUUCCAGGCUUCUUCCUGCUGAUUGUAAAUACCAUGCUCACACACACAGGUCCACAUUCACACAUACACACAGGUCCACUCUCACACACAGGCCCACACUCACACAGGCCCACGUUCACACACACAGGUCCACAUUCACACACAAGAUCCACACUCACACACACAGGUCCUGCAUCUCGCUGAAUUUAAUUAAGGAUCAACCUGAAAUAAAAU
rnacentral:lncRNA from 1 species